UAGGGAAUCUUCGGCAAUGGACGAAAGUCUGACCGAGCAACGCCGCGUGAGUGAAGAAGGUUUUCGGAUCGUAAAACUCUGUUGUUCGAGAAGAACAAGGACGUUAGUAACUGAACGUCCCCUGACGGUAUCUAACCAGAAAGCCACGGCUAACUACGUGCCAGCAGCCGCGGUAAUACGUAGGUGGCAAGCGUUGUCCGGAUUUAUUGGGCGUAAAGCGAGCGCAGGCGGUUUCUUAAGUCUGAUGUGAAAGCCCCCGGCUCAACUGGGGAGGGUCAUUGGAAACUGGGAGACUUGAGUGCAGAAGAGGAGAGUGGAAUUCCAGGUGUAGCGGUGAAAUGCGUAGAUAUAUGGAGGAACACCAGUGGCGAAGGCGGCUCUCUGGUCUGUAACUGACGCUGAGGCUCGAAAGCGUGGGGAGCAAACAGG
rnacentral:rRNA from 1 species